rnacentral:misc_RNA from 1 species
UGAGUAUUUAAGACACAAUAUAUCUGUGUAAUUUCCCUCUGACCUGUUUUGUGUCUGUUACUUUCUUUAUGAAAGGAAGUUCUCCUGGUGUCUUUGUCUGUUUUUAAUUCAUUUUGUUCAUUCUGUCCAGAAGUAGAGGUUGUGGUGCCAGGAUGUAGUCUGUGAUUUUACAUGUUACAUUAAGUGUUUGAUCCUUAAAAAAGAAGGGUACUGACACCUUGAAUAUAUGAAUGUUUAGCUACAUAUAUAAUUUAGGGGUUUCCCUUGCCAUAUUGGCUACAUUUAUUUUAAUUUUUUGUCUUGCUGAUCAGGUUGUGAAUUUAAAAUUUGCAUUAAAUCAGCAAAGUUAAGAAUAAGGUUGUCAUUUUUCAUACCUCAUCAAAUUUUCUUUUUACCUAGUUUUUUCUUUCAUAUGUUCAUUGACUUUUGUUUUUAUUUAUUCUCCUUUACACUAUUUAACAUUCCAGUGUGAGUAUACAAUAUCUCUGUACAUGUUGACAGCAGUUACUCCCCUUUUUUUCAUAAUUACAGUAUACAUGUAUUACUCAGUUUGAUUUUAUUGUGUAAAUCAUUGUAAUAAAAAUCUCUUUAUCUGCUAGUGGGUAUGGCCAUACCAACCUUCUUCUGAUAAUUUAUUCUUUGCUCAAGGUUAAAGCAGAAAAAGAAACCAGUUUAAUAGCAUGGAUCAAUAUGUUGAAGAAACUUGAUGUUUCAGUCAAUCUGUGAAUCUGUAUGAAUUGUCUCAAAAUCAUCCAAUCACAUCAUGUAUUCACUUCCGGAAAAAAAAAUGAUUCAGUUGUCCAUCACAACAGUUCAUGCUUCGAAAUUGUCAUUUAGUUUUAUGGUUUCAACCUGACUUAAAUUAUAUUCUUAUAUACCUUAAUGUUACAAGCAUUAGAGCCCUUUUCAAAUCAAAUAAUUAUAUUGAGACUGUUGUUAUCUAUAUAUGCUCUGUACAAGUAUAUUGAAAGUUUAAGCAUUGUUAUCUGUAUUUUUCUUUGUAAUUUGUAUAUAUUGGGAAUCUAUAUAACAUUGAAUGUUAUAUCUUAAACCGUGUAAUUUUCUUUGGUUGUAAGAAUUUAUCGUUGUGAAUAAUCCAUGAUUAUAGAAAGGCAUGUAUUGUAUUGUCACAUUUGAUAAUCGGAGUCAGCCUGGUGCUUGACGGGCAGUGUUUUUCUUGAUUUCUGUUGUGAAUGUCAGUUCAAUGUUGCCAAACUAUCAGUAUUUAUUUUUGUCAUGUAGCCCAGACCCUUUUUUCCUGUUCAUUCCAGACAAUUGCAAAAUUUAACAUUCCAUAAACUCGUCAAUAUUUGGAAACAGCAGUUGUCAGGUGAUGCAUAUUCAUCUAUUUCUUAUGAAUGUUCAUCAGAGGUUUCACGGAAACCAUUGUCCAUUAUUUUCACAUAAUUUGUAACAGUAGAGAACAUCCUAAUAGCUGUAUUAAUAAUGUUAGUACUUGUACGAAUCAGUUUAUGUGCAUGAUAAUUCUAGGUACCAUAACAACAUUCAAAAAAUAAAGCCUGCAUUCUAGAAAAAAGCAAGAGGAUUUGUACAUCCAAUCUCAGAUUGUUCAAUAACUUUUGCUAUCAAUAAACCAAGCUGUAAAGCCUAA